GACGAACCGUGCGAACGUUAUUCGGAAUCACUGGGCUUAAAGCGCGUGUAGGCGGGCCGGUACGUCGUUCGCUGAAAUCCCCCGGCUCAACCGGGGGGGGUCGGGCGAGACUGUCGGGCUGGAGGCGGGUAGGGGGCAGCGGAAUUCCCGGUGUAGUGGUGGAAUGCGUAGAUAUCGGGAGGAACACCAGUGGCGAAGGCGGCUGCCUGGACCCGGCCUGACGCUGAGGCGCGAAAGCGUGGGGAGCGAUCCGG
rnacentral:rRNA from 1 species